UACGUAGGAGGCGAGCGUUGUCCGGAAUCACUGGGCGUAAAGCGCGUGUAGGCGGGGGGGCAAGUCUGCUGUGAAAGCGCCCUGGCUUAACCGGGCGAGGUCGGCGGAAACUGCUUCCCUGGAGGGCGGUAGGAGGGGGGUGGAAUUCCCGGUGUAGUGGUGAAAUGCGUAGAGAGUCGGGAGGAACACCUGUGGCGAAGGCCGGGCCCCCUGGGCCGUACCUGACGCUGAGACGCGAAGGCGUGGGGAGCGAACGGG
rnacentral:rRNA from 1 species